rnacentral:rRNA from 1 species
GACGAACGCUGGCGGCGUGCUUAACACAUGCAAGUCGAACGGAAAGGCCCUGCUUUUGUGGGGUGCUCGAGUGGCGAACGGGUGAGUAACACGUGAGUAACCUGCCCUUGACUUUGGGAUAACUUCAGGAAACUGGGGCUAAUACCGGAUAGGAGCUCCUGCUGCAUGGUGGGGGUUGGAAAGUUUCGGCGGUUGGGGAUGGACUCGCGGCUUAUCAGCUUGUUGGUGGGGUGGUGGCUUACCAAGGCUUUGACGGGUAGCCGGCCUGAGAGGGUGACCGGCCACAGUGGGACUGAGAUACGGCCCAGACUCCUACGUGAGGCAGCAGUGGGGAAUAUUGCACAAUGGGCGGAAGCCUGAUGCAGCAACGCCGCGUGCGGGAUGACGGCCUUCGGGUUGGAAACCGCUUUCGCCUGUGACGAAGAGUGAGUGACGGUAAUUGGUAAAGAAGCACCGGCUAACUACGUG